rnacentral:rRNA from 1 species
AUACGGAGGGGGUUAGCGUUGUUCGGAAUUACUGGGCGUAAAGCGUACGUAGGCGGACUGGAAAGUUGGGGUUGAAAUCCCGGGGCUCAACCCCGGAACUGCCUCCAAAACUUCCAAUCUAGAGAUCGGGAGAGGUGAGUGGAAUUCCAAGUGUAGAGGUGAAAUUCGUAGAUAUUUGGAGGAACACCAGUGGCGAAGGCGGCUCACUGGCUCGAUACUGACGCUGAGGUACGAAAGCGUGGGGAGCAAACAGGAUUAGAAACCCCUGUAGUCC